rnacentral:rRNA from 1 species
AUGAACGCUGGCGGUAUGCUUAACACAUGCAAGUCGAACGGUCUCUUCGGAGAUAGUGGCGGACGGGUGAGUAACGCGUGAGAAUCUGGCUCUAGGUCUGGGACAACAGUUGGAAACGACUGCUAAUACCGGAUGUGCCGAAAGGUGAAAGGCUUGCUGCCUAGAGAUGAGCUCGCGUCUGAUUAGCUAGUAGGUGUGGUAAAAGCGCACCUAGGCGGCGAUCAGUAGCUGGUCUGAGAGGAUGAUCAGCCACACUGGGACUGAGACACGGCCCAGACUCCUACGGGAGGCAGCAGUGGGGAAUUUUCCGCAAUGGGCGAAAGCCUGACGGAGCAAUACCGCGUGAGGGAGGAAGGCUCUUGGGUUGUAAACCUCUUUUCUCAAGGAAUAAAAAAAUGAAGGUACUUGAGGAAUCAGCAUCGGCUAACUCCGUGCCAGCAGCCGCGGUAAUACGGAGGAUGCAAGCGUUAUCCGGAAUGAUUGGGCGUAAAGCGUCCGCAGGUGGCCCUGUAAGUCUGCUGUUAAAGAGUGAGGCUUAACCUCAUAAAAGCAGUGGAAACUACAGAGCUAGAGUGCGUUCGGGGCAGAAGGAAUUCCUGGUGUAGCGGUGAAAUGCGUAGAGAUCAGGAAGAACACCGGUGGCGAAGGCGUUCUGCUAGGCCGCAACUGACACUGAGGGACGAAAGCUAGGGGAGCGAACGGGAUUAGAUACCCCAGUAGUCCUAGCCGUAAACGAUGGAUACUAGGCGUUGCGAGUAUCGACCCUCGCAGUGCCGGAGCCAACGCGUUAAGUAUCCCGCCUGGGGAGUACGCACGCAAGUGUGAAACUCAAAGGAAUUGACGGGGGCCCGCACAAGCGGUGGAGUAUGUGGUUUAAUUCGAUGCAACGCGAAGAACCUUACCAAGACUUGACAUGUCGCGAACUCUUCUGAAAGGAAGAGGUGCCUUCGGGAGCGCGAACACAGGUGGUGCAUGGCUGUCGUCAGCUCGUGUCGUGAGAUGUUGGGUUAAGUCCCGCAACGAGCGCAACCCUCGUUUUUAGUUGCCAGCAUUAAGUUGGGCACUCUAGAGAGACUGCCGGUGACAAACCGGAGGAAGGUGGGGAUGACGUCAAGUCAGCAUGCCCCUUACGUCUUGGGCUACACACGUACUACAAUGCGUCGAACAGAGGGCAGCAAGCUAGCGAUAGCAAGCAAAUCCCGGAAAUCGGCGCUCAGUUCAGAUCGCAGGCUGCAACUCGCCUGCGUGAAGGAGGAAUCGCUAGUAAUUGCAGAUCAGCAUACUGCAGUGAAUUCGUUCCCGGGCCUUGUACACACCGCCCGUCACACCAUGGAAGCUGGUCACGCCCGAAGUCAUUACCCCAACUUUUCGGAGAGGGGGAUGCCUAAGGUAGGACUGGUGACUGGGGUG